rnacentral:rRNA from 1 species
UACGUAGGGUGCGAGCGUUGUCCGGAUUUAUUGGGCGUAAAGAGCUCGUAGGCGGUCUGUCGCGUCGGAUGUGAAAACCCAGGGCUCAACCCUGGGCCUGCAUUCGAUACGGGCAGACUAGAAUUCGGUAGGGGAGACUGGAAUUCCUGGUGUAGCGGUGAAAUGCGCAGAUAUCAGGAGGAACACCGGUGGCGAAGGCGGGUCUCUGGGCCGAUAUUGACGCUGAGGAGCGAAAGCGUGGGGAGCGAACAGG